UACGGGGGGGGGCAAGCGUUGUUCGGAAUUACUGGGCGUAAAGGGCGCGUAGGCGGGAUGGCAAGUCGGUCGUGAAAUCCCUCGGCUCAACCGAGGAACGUCGAUCGAUACUGCUGUUCUUGAGGAUUGCAGAGGAGACUGGAAUUCCCGGUGUAGCGGUGAAAUGUGUAGAUAUCUGGAGGAACACCAGUGGCGAAGGCGGCAUCCUGGCCCUGUCCUGACGCUCAGGGGCGAAAGCGUGGGGAGCAAACCGG
rnacentral:rRNA from 1 species